rnacentral:lncRNA from 1 species
AUGGGAAGACUAUGCACUUGCUCUGAAUCUGCACAGAAGAAGCAUCCUUCUGUGCUGCCUUUCUAUGCUUUAUGGUUUAUUAAAAAAAAAAAAAAAGAUGAGAGAGCAGACAUUUUGAGUGUAGAGUCCCAAGAAGAAAAAGAGAAGAAGAAGCUGACUUAUGCCUGACUAAUCAGUCUAAUGAUGGAGUACAAUCAGAAUUAGGAAAUUCAUUUUGUCGAGCCACAUUCUAAGAUUUCUCUUUCAUUGGUAAUAAAGUUAAGAUUUUGUUCUAAAUAUGAUGUCUUUCAUUUAUCAAUUAGUUCAGAACUUGGGUAGAAAAGAAGAGUAUAAUAUUUUGAGGCUUCUUAAAAUUGUACAAGAGUAAAAAAUUAAAUUCAAUAAGAAUGUAUGAGCAUUUAUGAGAUAGUCAUCACUGUCCUAGAUGCUGUGGAGAGAAAAUAGAGUAUAUAAUAUUCCCUGACCCCCAGAGCUUAUUAUUGGGUGGAAUAAAAGCUAGUAUGUGUGAAGCAAAUGGAGAUCAAGGGGUUAUGAAUGCAAUAAGAAUGUAGAGGAAGGUGAGGCAGUUGGAGCUGGAGCAAUUUUAUAUAGUUUUAUAGAGGUGACAGAUAAAGGUAGCAAAG